rnacentral:rRNA from 1 species
UACGUAGGGUGCUAGCGUUGUCCGGAUUUAUUGGGCGUAAAGGGCUCGUAGGCGGUUUGUCGCGUCUGCUGUGAAAACCCGAGGCUCAACCUCGGGCCUGCAGUGGGUACGGGCAGACUAGAGUGCGGUAGGGGAGAUUGGAAUUCCUGGUGUAGCGGUGGAAUGCGCAGAUAUCAGGAGGAACACCAAUGGCGAAGGCAGAUCUCUGGGCCGUAACUGACGCUGAGGAGCGAAAGCAUGGGGAGCGAACAGG